AAAUCUGCCUGCUGCUGCCUGAACGGUCCUGGUUUGCACCCAGACCUCAGCCCCAGCAGAGUGCAGCUCCCCAAGGGAUGAGCUCUGCCCAGGUUUCAGCUCCUCUCAGGUUCUCCACUGCCUCUCCUGGAUGUCCUUGGCGGGGGAGUGGGACCCAGGCCGACGUCCCUGCAGCAUGCAGUGCCCAGAGCCUCUCGCCGCCAGCAGCAGUGAGCCCUGCGUCGUGUCCUGCGCUGCCUCCAGGGUCAUCAUCUACCCUCCUCCGGUCCUCAUCACCUUCCCGGGGCCCAUCCUCAGCACCUGCCCCCAGGAGACGGUGCUGGGAAGCUCUGCAGGGCCGCAGGGAGGGGCAGCAGCAGCUCCUCUGCCAGCCCUAAGACCAGAAGCUCUGUGCUCUAAGCCACCUGCAGAGAGCUUCACCCCCAGACCCACGCCUGGGGGUGCCCAGAGGGUCUCCUAUGUGUUUGCCUCCCGCUGGCUGCACCCCUGCAGCAGACCUGGCUACAGAGGCUGCCAGCCACCCGGGGCUGAGAGGGAGGAGCAGGCUGCAGAGGAGGAGAAGCAGCCAGCAGCUGAAAGCACAGACACAGAACAGGAGGGCAGAGAGACCCCAGAAGCAUGACACAGCCACGGCGAGCCCAGAGGCCUGGUGGAGUCCUUCUGCCUCUCCAAGCAAACGGUUCCUGCCCUGAGUGCUGCCUGCCCCUGGCUUGCUGGGCUCUGUCCUUCCCCCGGGUGCCUUCCAGGGAGGUGAUGAGGGCAAUAAAAUCCUCCCUCUCCUAAGUCCUGUGAGCAGCCCGGGCUGGGCUCAGCAGGGCAGAGGAUGUUUUACGAGCAGCACAAAGGUGCUGAGCUGGGACCCAUCCAGCUGAGAGCAGCUCCAGCUUUCACUGCCAGGCUUAACGAGCCUCAAGCACGCAGCGGCACCAAUCAGCAGGGAAUUCACUUUCCCUCUUGCUGCACAGACUGAGGCACACAGAAAGGGCUUUGGUGCUGGGCUUCGGGGAGGAGGUUGGGCUGGGGGAGCAGAGGUGGAUCCUCUGUGGGUGUUUGGCUUUACAGAAGGAUGAGGAAGGGGGGGAAAAUGUCUGGUGACAUCUCCCACUCGAAAAGGGGAGUGGAAGCUGGAUCCAAGGCACAGAAGCUGCACCUGGAGCUGUUCCCUCCAUGCUGCUGUUUCUUCUGCCAGGCUCAUCCUGUCCUUUCCCUUCCCAUUAAAAGGAUUCUGCAGCACCCUGGUGGCUUUUCUGCUUCCUUCCCCUCUUGACUUUCAGCUGAGAUCUGGGUUGAGGAAUCCAUCACUAAAGACCUCUGAGGUGGAGCCCAACCACCACCGCAUGGCCCCCUGAGCCACAGCCCAAGAGCACCCUGCAGGUGUGGCUGGGC